rnacentral:tRNA from 1 species
GGCUGGGUGGCGAAAUGGCAGACGCACAGGACUUAAAAUCCUGGGGUGGGUAAACCACCGUGCGGGUUCGAGUCCCGCCCCAGCUA